rnacentral:rRNA from 1 species
UACGUAGGUGGCAAGCGUUGUCCGGAUUACUGGGCGUAAAGAGCGCGCAGGCGGUCGAUCAAGUCGCGUGUGAAAGCCCCCGGCUCAACUGGGGAGGGUCACGCGAUACUGAUCGACUCGAAGGCAGGAGAGGGUAGUGGAAUUCCCGGUGUAGUGGUGAAAUGCGCAGAUAUCAGGAAGAACACCCGUGGCGAAGGCGGCUCUCUGGGACGGUACUGACGCUGAGACGCGAAAGCGUGGGGAGCGAACAGG